rnacentral:rRNA from 1 species
UGCGUAGGCGGGGCAAUUAGUCAGUGGUGAAAUCCUGCGGCUUAACCGUAGAAUUGCCAUUGACACUGUUGCCCUUGAGUAUAGUUGAAGUGGGCGGAAUAUGUAAUGUAGCGGUGAAAUGCAUAGAGAUUACAUAGAACACCAAUUGCGAAGGCAGCUCACUAAGCUAUCACUGACGCUGAGGCACGAAAGCGUGGGGAGCGAACAGGAUUAGAUACCCUGGUAGUCC